UGUUUAAUUCCUUCGUUGUGGU
rnacentral:siRNA from 1 species